CAGUAAGAGGGAUGAUGUACUACCGUAGGGCUUUAAAGCUUCAGGCUUUCCUUGACAUGGCCUCUGAACCUGGUACUG